GAAUCAACGGUUUCGUUGAGGUAGCUCGAGAGUGCACAGUCCAACUGGACUUUAGCAGGUACACUCAAGUCAUCCAAACAUCAUAUGGUGCCCAGAGGGCUUUCGAUAGAUCUACGAGGAAAUAUCUAAAUGUAUCUGCAAGGGAUAGGAGAUAUUAGGUAUGCAUCUGGACGAGAAUUCCAUUUGCAACUCCAAGCCACACUGACUGAUCACCGGGUUAACGGAAUGGUCGGAAGCUAUGGUAUCAUUGAUGCCAAUACUCAUAUAUUAUAUGAAACGAUACCCGCGCCAAUCAUUUCCGUUCUGAAGAUGCAGGCAGAUCUUAUGCCUGUUAGCCCUAUUGACUGGGAUCUUCCAGAAGCUCUUCGUCCUAAUCUAGAGGCCGCUCAAUUGCCUACAGAAAACCUUUUAG